rnacentral:rRNA from 1 species
GAUGAACGCUAGCUACAGGCUUAACACAUGCAAGUCGAGGGACCGGCGCACGGGUGAGUAACGCGUAUCCAACCUGCCCAUAAGUAUGGUAUAACCCGCAUAAAUGCAAUCUAAUCCCCUAUGCUUCUGGAUGGGGAUGCGUCCGAUUAGCUUGUUGGUGAGGUAACGGCUCACCAAGGCGUCGAUCGGUAGGGGUUCUGAGAGGAAGGCCCACCACAUAGGAACUGAGGCACGGUCCCAACUCCUACGGGAGGCAGCAGUGAGGAACAUGGGUCAAUGGGCGAGAGCCUGAACCAGCCAAGUAGAGUGCAGGAGGACGGGCUAUGGGUUGUAAACUGCUUUUAUGCGGGGAUAGUUACCGCAUGAAUAAGGACCGGCUAAUUCCGUGCCAGCAGCCGCGGUAAUAC